rnacentral:sRNA from 1 species
ACGGGAUUACUAUGACGACUUCUUGCAGCGGCUUCUAGAACAGGGCAUCCACAGUGACGUGGUCUUUGUAGUACACGGGAAGCCAUUCCGGGUGCAUCGUUGCAUCCUGGGUGCACGUAGUGCCUACUUUGCCAACAUGCUGGACACCAAAUGGAAGGGCAAGAGUGUCGUGGUUCUCAGGCACCCACUGAUCAACCCCGUGGCCUUUGGGGCCUUGCUGCAGUACCUGUACACAGGCCGCCUGGACAUUGGCGUAGAGCAUGUGAGUGACUGUGAGCGCCUGGCCAAGCAAUGCCAGUUGUGGGACCUGCUCAGCGACCUGGAGGCCAAGUGCGAGAAGGUGUCUGAGUUUGUCACGUGCUCUACUACGUGUACAGCGACCACACUGAGCUGUCCCCCGAGGCAGCCUACGACGUGCUGAGCGUCGCCGACAUGUACCUGCUGCCAGGCCUGAAGAGGCUGUGCGGCCGC